AUAGUUAUAAGUGCUGAUUG
rnacentral:siRNA from 1 species